GAUAUAUACCAAGGUUUGAGAACUUAGGUUGAAAGCCUGUUCUAGGCUUUCCUUUCUCCUGGAAAAAAGAUUGCGCUGUCAAGUGCUAUCGACCCUGAAAACGUCUGGUCUGAGGCCAAUUAAAGCUCUCUAAAGCUGCAGGAGCUGGCAGGACGCUGCGUGCAGAGGCCUCGCACAAAACCCUUCAGACCAUAGUUCCUGGCAUCAAACAGCACCACUCGACACCUCAGCUUGGGGACUGUGUGCAGAAGCUUCUCAUAAGAUGUUGUGAUUCAAGAUGGCAGGGGUUUGGAGAUACUGCUUUCAGCCUGUCCGUUUUGCAAGAACUCUACCCUCCUUCCCCAGAAGGGGAACUCUAAGAAGCAGCACCAACCACAACCUGUCCUGGAGGGGAGAGUGUGUGUGCUCUUGAGUGUGAGUCCAUACCUCUUCAUUCUCUGACCAAAAAACAAAACAUUCUUUUGCUUCUGAA